AUUGAACGCUGGCGGCAGGCCUAACACAUGCAAGUCGAGCGGAGCGGCGGACGGGCGAGUAAUGCCUAGGUAUCUGCCUGGUCGUGGGGGAUAACGUCCGGAAACGGGCGCUACUCCCGCACACUACCAGCUGUGCCUAGGUCGUAUUAGCUAGCUGGUGGGGUAAAGGCCUACCAAGGCGACGAUCCGUAACUGGUCUGAGAGGAUGAUCGGUCACACUGGAACUGAGACACGGUCCAGACUCCUACGGGAGGCAGAAGUGGGGAAUAUUGGGCAAUGGGCGAAAGCCUGAUGCAGCCAUGCCGCGUGUGUGAAGAAGGUCUUCGGAUUGUAAAACACUUUAAGUAGGGAGGCGUUACCUACAGAGUAAGCAACGGCUAACUACGUGCCAGCAGCCGCGGUAAUAC
rnacentral:rRNA from 1 species